rnacentral:rRNA from 1 species
GAUGAACGCUAGCGGCAGGCUUAAUACAUGCAAGUUGAGGGGCAGCACAGGUAGCAAUACUGGGUGGCGACCGGCAAACGGGUGCGGAACACGUACACAACUUACCUUAGAGUGGGGGAUAGCCCAGGGAAACUUGGAUUAAUACCCCAUAAAACAGGUGGCCGGCAUGGGCAUAGUGUUAAAGAUUUACCGCUUUAAGAUGGGUGUGCGUAUGAUUAGGUAGUUGGUAGGGUAAAGGCCCACCAAGCCGACGAUCAUUAACUGGUGUGAGAGCACGACCAGUCACACGGGCACUGAGACACGGGCCCGACUCCUACGGGAGGCAGCAGUAAGGAAUAUUGGUCAAUGGACGGAAGUCUGAACCAACCAUGCCGCGUGAAGGAUGAAGGUCCUCUGGAUUGUAAACUUCUUUUAUAGGGGGCGAAAAAGGGCCAUUCUUGGUCAACUGGCGGUACCCAAUGAAUAAGCACCGGCUAACUCCGUGCCAGCAGCCGCGGUAA